UAUAAAGUCACGCCCCCUGGCUAUCAGGCCCCGCCCCCCGGCGCCAGCGGGUACUGCUCAGGAGUGUGCGUGUGGACAGGAAAGUAUCGCUCCCUUUCACACUUGUAAUUGUCUCACUAUGUCGCCCUGGCUGCCUGGAAGAUCCUCCCUCCUACCUACUAAGUGCAGGAAUUAAAGGUAUACACCACCACGCA